rnacentral:rRNA from 1 species
ACGAACGCUGGCGGCGUGCUUAACACAUGCAAGUCGAACGGAAAGGCCCUGCUUUUGUGGGGUGCUCGAGUGGCGAACGGGGGAGUAACACGUGAGUAACCUGCCCUUGACUUUGGGAUAACUUCAGGAAACUGGGGCUAAUACCGGAUAGGAGCUCCUGCUGCAUGGUGGGGGUUGGAAAGUUUCGGCGGUUGGGGAUGGACUCGCGGCUUAUCAGCUUGUUGGUGGGGUAGUGGCUUACCAAGGCUUUGACGGGUAGCCGGCCUGAGAGGGUGACCGGCCACAUUGGUACUGCGAUACGGCCCAGACUCCUACGGGAGGCAGCAGUGGGGAAUAUUGCACAGUGGGCGGGAGCCUGAUGCAGCAACGCCGCGUGCGGGAUGACGGCCUUCGGGUUGUAAACCGCUUUCGCCUGUGACGAAGCGUGAGUGACGGUAAUGGGUAAAGAAGCACCGGCUAACUACGUG